UACCAAAGUUAGUAUGUUUCCUUGAAGGUGACAAUUUUAUAGUGGUUGUCGUACUCCCUUUUUAUUUUGAUCAUGUUGGUGAUCUAAUAAUUGAUUGGCUAACUAAAUCACUAUUCUAUCUUCAUCUUCAUGAUUAAUGCUUGCUAACUAAUUAUGGACGGUUGGUUUUUCCGAAGGCAAUAGUUUGGCUUGUGUAGACAGUGAGUUACAGGGGUACAAUAAGAUUCGGUUCCUAAUAAGGUAAACAUACCAAUGCUUCUUCUAUUGGUGGAAUUAGUUUCUUUUAUGCAUUAUGGAUUAAUACUACUGCCAAUGAAGUAACAACCAGUGUUCUUUCCCUGAUAACUUAAUGCUUAUGUUGGUUUAACUGUAUACUACAAGAAAUCAGUUAGGUUAACAAGAGGUUUGUGGAUUGAAUUUUUCACCACAAACUGAUAUGGUGCUCUGGAUGUUGCUGGAGAGCAGAGUUUCUUCUUCUAGGUUCUAUGUGCAAGUAUUUUUGUUCAGACACAUUUUUUAUCAAACACAAUUUUAAUAUGAUUUUGGAACCAAGAAAGGAGAUUAAGUUGCUGGAUAAGAACCAUGAUCCCAGUUUCAGACAACAAAUGCUCAUCCUGUGAUAAUUCACCUAUCAUCUUGUGCUGCUGUCUAAUUUGGGUACCUUUGAUUCUGCAGUAGGUUCGUUCUAGUUAGGGCUUGGCAAAAUUAUGUAGGUUUGAUAUGAUACCUUUCCCUCAAGAAGAACCUUGUGAUUGAUUCCUUCUAUGUCAUGUGUGCAUUUGUUGAUUGUUAUUAUAUAAAGAAACUAGAGCCAUCCUCUGUGCUGCACUUCUGCCGAGGUUCACAUCAUUAACUAACUUCGUAUUUGUGGCAGAGGCCUGUCUUUUUUAUGUCCACCGUUUGCUCUUAUAAUGUGUGGGAUAAGUUAUGUUUAUUGUGAAAGGGCUUUAUUUGAUGGAAAUGAAAUUUACUUCUGAAACACCUAGCGUUAUGAAAUUAAAUGGCAGUCAUGUUUGUAACUACAUCAUUAUUAAGUCAAGUCUGUAAGAAAUUGUUACAGUGAAAUACAAGUAGGAAAGGCCUUUUGUUGUUAGUGACGGAGCUUGAACCAAAAUGUUAAUAAUUGUAAAAUAUAAUUAUAUUUUUUAUAACUUGCUUUUGAUUGAUAUAUAAGUAAAAAAAUACUUAACAACGAGUUUUGCAGUUAGGAGGCGCCCUGGCCCUAAUUAAGCUCCUCCCCUGUUGAUUGUGCUAUUUGAAGUUGAACAGAACAAUCCUACUACGCCUACGUCAUUGAUGGAUGAGAGAGAUUGACCCGUAACUACUCUUGGUGACUGAUUGAUAGAAUUGCAUCAAUACCAAACUGAGUCUUACUGAUAAAGUUAUCAAAUUAUUCAACACCAUCACCGAAACAACGACGAAACCAAAGUAGCCGUUCACAUCAAAGUUGUUUGUAAGAAACUUAGGCACGCAAUCGCUUGUUGUCAGCAUCCUUGCCCCAUUUCGAAGAUUUGUUAGCUAAGCAUUCAUGCACUCACACCCAACCUAACAGGAAUAUAUAAUUGCAUAUUUUACUUUGGCCAUUCACUUGGAGAUUUGAAAUGUGGAGUAUCUGGAUUUCUUGUAGAUGAGUGCAUUCGCAGGAGUAGCUUUCAUGGUCAUAGAAGAUAGACGUUGAACUUCCAUUCUAUCCUUAUGUAUUGUGCCUUUUUUUUGUGUCCUUUCACUUUCCUUUUAAUCAUUAGAGGAAAUACAUGAACUAUUUUGUUUUCACAUCUGACUAGUAGCAAGUUAGAGAUUGCUUACUCGAUAUAUCCAUGGAUAUUAGUAGCAACAUAAGUAUGUACUCUCUUUGUGUAGUACUCGUAACAAUACUGCAGUUCAGUAAUGUUGGGAGACAGAACUCAAAAAUAUUUGUUGUUCAAUGGCACAUAAACGGAAAUGUAGCAACGGAUGUUUUGUGGGAUUCUGGGAGAUAGAUGGAGAGUAGAUGGGAAGGAAGAAGAGACUAAAGAAAUGCUUCCAUUUAUUAUUCUGGGAGAUAGAAUGCUAUGCGUUCAGUGCCUAAUAAAUAAUUGUUCUGGCAUGCAGCUUUUUAUUGUCCGAAUUAGGCAUACAGGCUGAUUAUGGAUAACUGGAUCUCUUCAGGCAUAGUGAAUCAUGAACCGAAUUAAUAAAAAAUAUUGUUUUUUUCGGUUAGUACUAGUUCGUAUCUGCUAUCCGUUUUUCAGUUGCACUAAUGCAGGAACGUCUUAGAGACAGGUUCUCCACAAUCUGUUGACUAGAUGUAGCAGAAAUUUAAUAUCUUCACUUGGACGUGCAGAAAUUUCUCUCUACCUAACAUGCAUUUAAAUUUUGAAUACUCACCACUAAGAUUUCUAGGAAAAGGAUGAAGGGAUGCAGAACUCAGCUUUUAUCUCAAAAGCAUUAUCCAUUUUUUUUUUGUCAAAGUUGGAGAAAAAUUAGGCAUCGUCGGGUAUUUUCUCAAUUCAUGACAACAAUUUUUCAAAGUCAUGAGAGGAAAAGUUAGGAGAUGGAAAGUUUCUGGUUUACUGCUUUGUUUAAGAUGCAUAAUGGCUGUAUUUGGAUGAUAUUUUUUUUUCUUCUAACAGAGAAGAACUGAAUCCAAAGGUUUCCGCGGAUGCAAGGCGCGUCAGAAAUCAGAUUUAGCGCAGCAUUCUGCUCUCUCAUGGUUUCAGAGAAGCUAGUACCCACAUGGGUUUUCAGUCUGGACACAUAUUCUGUAGUUGUGGCAAGAAAUCUCUACUUUACUUGCUGGUUGUUUCACUUUUAGGUGUUCUUAGGUAAGAAAAACAUGCCAAUACAGAUAUAUGAUGUUUGUUAGAUAACAGCGACACAAAUGUCAUCGCUGUCUGUUAGGGAACAAUAUCAAUUGGUGCACUACAAACAAGAAAGCUAUUGCUUGUUCAGUUCCUGUCUCUUAUUCUUUUCUUUCGCCCCAUUCCGUUCUCACUCUGUUCAUUCUUGGACAAAGCUUAACCUGAAUGUGUUCUUUCAUCUUUUCUGCAGGAAAACAUAUCUGCACCAACCAUGACAAGACCAACGGGGGCAGUGUUCUAAAAGGCGGCAGUGACAAUAUUCUCCGGCGAUCAGUGCCAGAUUCCAGAGUGUUUCCAAAUUAUAUCUACGAGCUUGCUAUUCUUCCAUAUGGCAGAGAUUCCUUCUGUACUUGACACUUUUUUUGUCAGUGUUUUACUGUUUGUACAUGUUUCUGACAACUCGUGUUGAAUUGUAAGUGUAUUUUACUGACAAUUUUUAUGGCGUCUUACUCCCUAUCAGAGGUAAAAAUUGUUUUGCGCAAAACUGUAAUUGAUCAAAUGGAAAAAAAAAUAGUAAAAAUUUAUACUUCCUCCGUGCAACAAAGGAUGUCUCGACUUUGACUAAAUUUGAAUGCAUCUAUACACUGAAUCAUGUUUAAAUUUAGUUUUUUCGGCGAAUUUCAUUUGGAUAGCCCAAAACCGAUGCCCGCAGAGAGAAAUGCCUCAUUUCGGCCCAAUAUUCGUGCAACCAUUUGGAUAGGCCCAGCCCGGGAGGGGAAACCGGAAA
rnacentral:lncRNA from 1 species